rnacentral:rRNA from 1 species
GACGAACGCUGGCGGCGUGCUUAACACAUGCAAGUCGAACGGAAAGGCCCUGCUUUUGUGGGGUGCUCGAGUGGCGAACGGGUGAGUAACACGUGAGUAACCUGCCCUUGACUUUGGGAUAACUUCAGGAAACUGGGGCUAAUACCGGAUAGGAGCUCCUGCUGCAUGGUGGGGGUUGGAAAGUUUCGGCGGUUGGGGAUGGACUCGCGGCUUAUCAGCUUGUUGGUGGGGUAGUGGCUUACCAAGGCUUUGACGGGUAGCCGGCCUGAGAGGGUGACCGGCCACAUUGGGACUGAGAUACGGCCCAGACUCCUACGGGAGGCAGCAGUGGGGAAUAUUGCACAAUGGGCGGAAGCCUGAUGCAGCAACGCCGUGUGCGGGAUGACGGCCUUCGGGUUGUAAACCGCUUUCGCCUGUGACGAAGCGUGGGUGACGGUAAUGGGUAAAGAAGCACCGGCUAACUACGUG